rnacentral:rRNA from 1 species
AACGAACGCUGGCGGCAGGCCUAACACAUGCAAGUCGAGCGAGGACUUCGGUCCUAGCGGCGGACGGGUGAGUAACGCGUGGGAACGUGCCCUUUGCUUCGGAAUAGCCCUGGGAAGCUGGGAGUAAUACCGGAUGAGCCCUUUGGGGGAAAGAUUUAUCGGCGAAGGAUCGGCCCGCGUUGGAUUAGGUAGUUGGUGGGGUAAUGGCCUACCAAGCCGACGAUCCAUAGCUGGUUUGAGAGGAUGAUCAGCCACACUGGGACUGAGACACGGCCCAGACUCCUACGGGAGGCAGCAGUGGGGAAUCUUAGACAAUGGGGGAAACCCUGAUCUAGCCAUGCCGCGUGAGCGAUGAAGGCCUUAGGGUUGUAAAGCUCUUUCAGCUGGGAAGAUAAUGACGGUACCAGCAGAAGAAGCCCCGGCUAACUCCGUG